rnacentral:rRNA from 1 species
UACGUAGGGUGCAAGCGUUGUCCGGAUUUAUUGGGCGUAAAGAGCUCGUAGGCGGUCUGUCGCGUCGGCUGUGAAAUCCCGGAGCUCAACUCCGGGUCUGCAGUCGAUACGGGCAGACUGGAGUUCGGCAGGGGAGACUGGAAUUCCUGGUGUAGCGGUGAAAUGCGCAGAUAUCAGGAGGAACACCGGUGGCGAAGGCGGGUCUCUGGGCCGAUACUGACGCUGAGGAGCGAAAGCGUGGGGAGCGAACAGG